ACAGAAGGAAGAGCAGGUUUCUCACGGCAUGUCAGCCCAGGGCUCCCACAUGUGGCCUCCCACCCUCAUCUUCACACAUUCUCACACCUUCCGGAGUACAGAGGCGAGUGGGGUGCAGAUGGUCCUCCCUACAUCGGCCUCCUGCCCCCAACAGGAUUCCUCACAUCCCAGGACCAGCUGGAAAAGGUGGUGAGAGUUGGAAAGAGACUGCUCAGUGAGGACUGCCCUGCGAACCAGCUUGGAUUCAUCCCGUUCACCUCCACGUUCUGCACUCGGGGCCGAGGGAAGGGAGGCAGCCCAGGCAGCUAGAGAACUUGAUGAAACACACUCAAUCUGAAUCUCGCUUGAUCGUCAUGCUGACCCAGUGAGGCCUCUCCAGCCCCUGCUGGGACCACUGGCCCAGGAGGAAGUCUGGGCUCUGGCUGCCACCUGCUUCCUCUCAGGAGUUCUUCUCCCUCCCAAGCAUGGAUUUGCAUUUCCCCCUCUGCCUUCUGCUACUCAAGCCCCCAGGGAUGAGGUGACAGUUAACCCCCCACUUCCUGCUAGUGGCCCCAGAGCGCUCACUUCCUUCCAGUCUACUCAGGGUCAGGCAUCCUUUCCGACUACUCACUCAGCAGCGGAUCCCCACCCGCCUCUGACUCCCAGUGUCUUUCGGCUCCAACGUAAGUUCACCGAACGUCUAAGAGCUGAGGAUUCAAAGGCAUGUAAGACCGCCCCUGCCCUCAGCUGCAAGACCUGUCCGCGAUCCUACGAGCCCCAUUCCGCCCUCUUUCCCCGACCUUGGUCCCCCAUGGGCCCUACAACCAGGUCCCCGACUGACACCUUGACCAGCGAACACAGCAAACAGGCCCGCAGAUGCCGCAGGUCCUUCGGCACCGUCUCCAGGGCCAUCUUCGCCGAUGGGAAGAACAACAGGGAGAUAGACGACCACAGCCUGUGCACCCGCAGGAAGUAAAUAGCUCGUUACCCAGAAUGCCCACCACUUCCGGCGCUUAGACUUCCUCUUCCGGUGUGGGCGGACGCCAGCUCCGCCCCUACCCCCGCCAGAGGAGAUGGUUUCUCCCGCCAGCAGGCGGGGAGGCUGGGCGGCCGGCCGCCACCUGGGCCGGAGCGCGUCGCAGCCACCUGAGCCCGCCGAGGGCGCGGCGGAGGCUGUGUGGGGUAGUCAGCGGGCCCCCGGGGCGGGGGGGCGGCUGCGCUUGCGCGGGAGUGUGUCGGGCUGAGCCGCAGCGCCGAGACGCGGGCUGUUUGAUCUGGGCUGGUGGCCCUGGGCGUCGGUCCUGUUCCCCGAUGGUAACCCGAAGUUUGUUUUUUUUUGUUUUGUCUCCCCGUUUUAGAAGCAUUGGGGGCAGUGAAUCCACUGUCUCCCUCUGGAUUGUCUCUGCAGAGACCGAGAAGAAAUCCAGGGACAGCCCCACCCCUCCUUCCUAACUGCGAGAGCGCUAUAGGGUUUCCACUUGCUUCCCACAGGAAUGCUGGCCUGGGAGCUACGGCGGAAAAAAAUGCGUAUUUAUCUUUUAAAACUCCGUCUGUUUGCUCGUUCCGGCUGAUAAUUUAUACUUUGCGCAGUUCUUAGCGCUUAGACACGGUUCCUUUACUAAAGACCAUUUGUAGGAGAUUAGGUGUCCUUUUUUUCCCUUUCAUUUCACCGUCUAGGAAGCGAAAUGCCUUGUUCUAUAGGCACUAAACCACCACCCCUACCAAACCUUUCUCGGGGAAGCAGAAGGGGAACUUGUGCCUUGUGAGGAAGCGACAAAGGCCCCUUCUGGCCCUGGAGACUUCACGCCAAUGGAGCACCAGCUCUCUGUCCUCGCAAUAGCCCGAGUGCAGGCAGAACGCAGUCAUUUGUGUUUAUCUGAGAGGAGCUUUGGGAUAUAAAUAGUUUCAGGCCCCGCUGCGCUGUCAUUCCAGCCCAGCCUCCUGAUUGAGCUGCUUCCGGGCGGGCUUUCUUCUUGUUGGCGGUCCCAUGCUGUGUUCAGAUGGGCUCUGUGACAGGUUUGGAUGUUUUCUAUCACUGAAUAAAACUUUCCACUUUGGAACAUAUUUUCUACACUCUAUUAUCUCAUGUAAGUCCUGCAACAACUAUUAAGUAGGCCCAUUUUAUGGACUGAAAAAGCGAGGCACAGAGUAUUUGCCCAAGGUCUGAGUCACUGAAGUAUGAUAAUGUGUGAAGUGAACAGUAUAAUAAUAAUGACUGAAGCACAGUAAGAAUCCAGUCAUGCUUUCUCCUUCCCUGAUCUCACUAAGCCACACUUUUAGGGGCUUACAAACCAGUUCUUAUUGCCAAGCCCUCUACUCUACCCUAUCCUUUCAUGAAUCGGAGCCUAGCCUCUGAUAACAUAAAUAAUUUACUUCUCUUGAUGUAGAAAGAGAUGACGUUGUUACCCUGAGUGACAGUCACGACAGAACAAAACCACAAGACCAGACCACAUUUGUGGAUAAAUAUAUUAGCAAAUAAAUAUAUUUCUUAACAUAGUGCCUGAUUCAAGCGUCUGUCUGGUUCAGAUAUAAAUACCCAUGUGGGUACCUAGGUGCUAGUCUCCCCACUAACUGAGGGAAAAAGGUUCCCAGGUGGGGUCCUCUGCCCACUUUGCCACCACAUUCACAUUCCAAAUGGGAUAAUGCCUGAGGGGCCAAGAGUGGUCAGGCUGCCCUGGGGUGAAUGUCACCCUGAUGAGGCCCAUCAGCUCUUGUCCACUCAGUGAGGCCAGACUUGUGCUCUAAUCCACUCUCCUGUGGGUCCCUGGCCUGUAUGGCUUAUACUGGGG
rnacentral:lncRNA from 1 species